rnacentral:lncRNA from 1 species
AUGGUUCCCUUGAGUUACCAUCCAUGGCCUUGCACUUGCAAGUGGCUGCACCAGCUCACCAAAGGUAUCCCACCUGUGCUGCAUAUAAUCAGCAUAAGAAAGGUCUCCUGGCAGCAGAUGUACAUCAUAUUUGCAUUGGCCAAUAUGGUCCAGUGUUGAUUUAGUCCAGCCAGUUUGACCCAAAUCCCCUGCCACAGCAAAAGUAAUUGGAAACUGUGCAGGAGGGGUCUUGAACUCAAACUCAGGACCUUGUCGACCACAGCGGUAAAAGUAAACAGUGUCAUGCUCCAGAGGCCCAAUGACAGUGUGGUGUAUCUUUCCCGACCUAUAAAAUAGGUAUCUAUAAGAUGUGCUCUCUCCUUCAGCUCCA